rnacentral:lncRNA from 1 species
CGGCGUUCAUCCAUCGCUCGGCCGAUCGGCUGCUUCCCCCUCGCCGCCCGUUGCUAGGCAGGCCCGGACGCAGCUGCCGCCGUUUCCUGCCCGCUCGGGGGCGGCCGGCGGCGGGACGCGGCGCCCACCCUCCCUCUCCUUCCCCGCCAUGGAGGGUGACAAGAGAAGAACCAGAGAAGAUACUUGGAAAUCAGAAGAACUGUGGAAACAUCUCAGGGCAUCACAGCCAGAUAGUCAAAAUGAAGACCAAAGGCACAGAGAAAAGAAACUGCAGAAAGAGAAGUCUGUUUAUGACACAGACACUCAUAAACAUGAACGCAAAGACAGAGGGAAGAGCAAGGAAAGAACAAGAGAGAGAGAGCGAUUCAGAUCUGGUGAAAGAGACAGGGAUAAAAUGAGAGAGAGAGAAAGGGGAAAAGAGCACCAGAGAGAAGGAGAGCGAGAGAGAUACAAAUAUAAGCUUCGAGAAUCAAGUAUGGAGAAGGACAGUUACCAUGUACCAAAAGAUAAAGACAAGGAGAGUAAUAGGGAACAGGAUAAAAAACAUAAAAGACAUGAGAUAAAGCAAAUAGAUACACAAAAUAAUCUGAAAUCAUUUGAAGGAAGAGAUAAAGAACAUCACAGAAGAAGAGAAAGCAGGCAUCAUUUGGGUAAGUUGCUUUGGGUUGCUCUUGUACUUUGAAAUAUUUGAUAUUUAGAUAGAAAUACUCUGAAACCACACCUCAUCUGUACAGAGGGGAUAAAGACAGGC